rnacentral:rRNA from 1 species
CCUACGGGUGGCAGCAGUGGGGGAUAUUGCACAAUGGGGGAAAUCCUGAUGCAGCGAUGCCGCGUGAAUGAAGACGGCCUUCGGGUUGUAAAGUUCUGUCGCAGGGGGCGAAAAUGACGGUACCCUGCAAGUAAGCUCCGGCAAAUCACAUGCCAGCAGCCGCGGUAAUACGUAGGAAGCAAGGGUAGUCCGGAAUAACUGGGUGAAAUGCGGGCGUAGGCGGGCGGAUAAGUUGAAUGUGAAAUCUAUGGGCUCAACCCAUGGCUGCGGUCGAAACUGUUCUUCUUGAGUGAAGUAGAGGCAGGCGGAAUGCCCAGUGUAGCGGUGAAAUGCGUAGAUAUUAGGAAGAACACCAGUGGCGAAGGCAGCCUGCUGGGCUUUUACUGACGCUGAGGCUCGAAAGCGUGGGUAGCAAACAGGAUUAGAUACCCGAGUAGUC